GGAACCUUUCCUCUGAGGAGUCCGUGCGACGACCUGGCUCUCAUGCCUGGAAGCCACUUGGUGUCCCCGACUCACCCUGUGGCAUUUUUCUCCAGCUGCACAGAAACCUGGAAGUUGCCCAGAGUUUUCUCUUGACUGCCCUUUCAUCCUGUUACCUAUGUGCUGGCGGGAUAAAAGCUGCAAGGAGGUCAAAUGGUGUUGCUACUACAAACGUCGGCAUCAGUAUAGGGAGCCCUGCUGGACUUUGGAUUGAGGUGAGGAGCCCCAGAUCUGCUGCCCGUGAAACCUUCCUGCAGAAGCAUUGUCUUAGAACGAGUUGAGAACUGCCUAUUCCUGUAGAAAAUCACUGUGAUCAGAGGUUUUAAAUUAGGUCGGCCCAUAGAUCUGCCUCUGGACAAUGAAGGGAGAAGCUCAACAGAACUCCUUGCUUAGAUUAUGCACCUUCCAUUUCACAUAAUGGACUUCGCCCUUCUCCUCUCUGUAAAGAGGACAUUUCAGCAAGACUCAUUAAGAUCCUCAACAGUUACUGGCUUUUUAUUAUUUUUGAUUCCUAUUUUCUGCAGCUUAUAAUAAUGAAACACUUUCCUGUUCAUAUUUACACUGUGAGUGUUUAUGUAAUUUCACAGUUCCUUAGGAUGGCUUGCCUAGAAUCCCUGAUCCCAGUCCUUGAUUCCUGGAUAGCACAAGCCAGUGCUCUUCGGAGGAGAAUACGUAAGAGGAUCCAGACAAUGGCGUCCUAUUGCCUCAAAAUCUGCUGGAUAAAGAAUGAUGAAGAGCCAGGACAGUCCUGCAACACCCUGAAAAGAGGCAGUCCAUGAGGGCUCUCAGAAGUUACACCCCAGUUGUUUUACGUUGUCUCUUCCUGGCUUCCUGGAGGUGAAAGGAAACAGACGGUGCUUCCGGGUUAAGCAGAGGCACCUCUGACCUCCAGCCCCGGGAGUCAAAACGCCCUCUGUUGAUGGGGCCGCACCAAAGCUGACAUAGACAGGUCCAGGCUGCAGGUGCCCCCACACCGUUUUCUUGCAUUAUGAAGCUGAGUGGUUUCACUCUACUCUCUGUGAUCAUCCUCCUUUGCCUCCACAUGACCCAGCCUGGAGUCUUUAGGAAUGCGGCUGCACAGAAACCGGGAUAUUGCCCAGAGUUUGAUCUUACCUGCCCUUUCACCCUCUUACCUAUGUGCCGGCGCGAUAAGGGUUGCAAGGGAGUCAAGAAGUGUUGCUACUACAACUGUCGGCAUCAGUGUAUGGAGCCCUGGUGGACUCUGGAUUGAGUUUACAAUCAUGAAACAGUUUCCUCUUUACAUUUACAUUGUGAGGUGGAAAGCCCUUCUUUACCAGGACUGAGGAGACACAGGUGCUACAGGCUCAGACUGGGAUAACUGGUCUCCAUGUUGUCCAUGAUCGCUCAGGCCCAGGACUUCCUUUUAGCAAGAGUUAAAUGUUUCUUACUAUGAUAACAAGACAAAGAAAUAAAGCGUUGUAUAUUGAAAACUCCAUGAACAUCUGUAAGUCUGCUGGAUUGAUCUCUUGCUCUCUCUCUCUCUACUCAGCUGUGUUGCAUAAUCCCUCAGGAACUGUAAAAAGGACGGAGUUACUGUUUCACAUUUAGUUUCAUCAAUUCCUGCACUUGUGUUUUUCUGAUAUGUUUGUCUCUUUCAAUAUCUCCUGACACUCAGAUUCUCUGUUGGUCAGAUUCCAGGCGCAUUUUGGAGUUAAAUUCUCUGUGUUUGCAUCCUAUGAAUGGCAUGCCAAUUAAUUCUGUAAUGGAAGAGCAAGCCAUUUUUGCUUCAGUUUUUCUGGUACUACUGCUGGUGGCCUUUCCACGUGUUAGAGUAAUAUGAUCUGCAAUUGGAUUUGGAACUUAAGGUUGGAAAUUGAGCAAGGUGUACUUUAGUUCUAGGUACUUUCGUUCCUAAAAAUUGAGCCACCCUCUGUAGAGGACUGUGUGCUGGCAAACGAGAAGUUCCCGAUAAGCCCUGCUCUUGCAAACAAAGCAGGACAUUCCUUCUCUGCAAACAAGAAGGAUAAAGGAGCCAGCUGUAAGCAGCGGGCUCUGGGAACUGGUCAAUGUUUUACUGAUCUUGCGAGUCAAGGAAAGGUCAGAGAAGCAACACAUGUCCUGUGACUUGGCAACAUUCCACAAACGGCUGGAUAAAAAUAAAGCAGUGUGUGCCGUUCGGGGUGGCUGCCAUGUAUGUCUUGUCCUGUGUUGUCUUGUGUGUUCAUUCCUUUGUUUAGGAAACACGCGGACCCCAACAACUGGCGCAGCGAGCAGGGUCCGUGGCUCCAAGAGAGCAAGGAACCGGAGGGGGAGCACCCCGGGUGUGUGCCGGAGAUGAGUGGUUUCCAUCCCGAUGGUUAAAGCAGUGCCAUGGCGAAGAGGAGCCGGCCGGACGGCUUCCUGGUGGCAUUUCAAAAAUUAAAUCUGAGUACUCAGAAAACCUUCACCUACGAAACUUGUCAAGCAGAACCCCCGACAUGAGGUCAACUGAAAAAACUUACUCAAGAAGCUGAAGGGGUUGUUCAACAAGCUGGACAGCCCAAAACCUCACUGACCUUAUUUCUGGCUAUGCUAGCUGUAGUGAAUUGCCAGGUAACAGCUGGAAAAUUCACAUAUUGGACUUAUAUUCCCUUUCCACCCUUAUAUCAAGGUGUGGCCUAGGGAGACAAAGAAGUUUUAGUAUUUACUAAUGAUACUACUUGGAUGCCAUCACCUUUUUUAAAUCAGAAUCCUGAGUUAGACACGGGUGCAGUAAACAGUUCAUAUCAAUUUGGGGUAGAAGGGUUACCUGUAUGUCUUGGAAACGGUCCACAUUGUUUACCUCCUUCUCAUAAGGCUUGGGCUGUGCGCUAAAAUCAUAGUCACAUUGCCGCAUUUACUAUGAUUGUUGUUAUUCAGAGUUUUAAAUAUAAUCAUACUACUCUACUUAAUGAAACCUUGCCUACUACAUUAUCCUUAUGUCCUAUUCCUGACGUGUCCGGAGGUGUUUCCCAAUUAAAGUGGACUAGAUGUAAAAGAAGUAGACCACGAUUAUUAUUAGAGGUAAAAGGUAGACAUUAUAGAUACCUUGUCACUGACUAGAGGGUGCAUGGAAAUUUUCAGACUAAGUUUAGCCACUUUAGCCUACGAUGGCAUAAAAAUAAUCACAACAUUUAUGCUGAUGGUAACGAAACUAUUAUUUGGCAUGAUGGUGGCUUGUCACCCCCUAUGCCAUAUUUGGCCAACACCUCACAAAUACAAAGUCAUAUAUGGAAGUUACUAGCUGCUGGCAAACCAAUAUCUACUUUUACGGGAAACAUGUCCUUAAAUACCACUAAUCCUUCUAAUCCUUUCCAUAUAUCUUUACAUCAAAACAGAUCUAGAUAUGUCAUUGCUUGUGUUAAAAAACCUUACUUGUUGUUAGCGGGAAUCUUUAAAUGGGAUAAUAAUAUGGGAAUAGUUAACUGUAUGGACAAUUGUACAUUUUUAAGCUGUAUAAAUACUACUUGAUGGCAUAAUAAUUGGAAUGAGACUCACUCCAAUAUAUAUAUUUUAAGAGCUAGAAAAGAAGUCUGGUUACCUGUGAACUUGACACGCAUCUGGAGUAAAUCUACUGGGGUUACUCAAAUUUACAAAGUAAUGCAAGAUCUUGUCCACCGCAGCCGGAGAGCGGUUGGGAUUGUUGUAACAGCAGUAGUGGGACUUGUGGCCAUUGCUUCCACCGCCGCUGUUGCUGGACUGGCGUUACAUCAGAAUAUCCAAAAUGCAGAGUUCGUGCAACAAUGGCAUGAAUAAUCUCACUUGUUGUGGCAACAACAAUGAGACAUCGAUGCUCAUUUGACUAAACGAGUAGAUAACUUAGAACAAGUGGUUUCUUGGAUAGGAGAUCAGCUGAUAGUGUUAAAUACUCGAGCCUUGUUAAAAUGUGACUGAAAUACUACUCAAUUUUGUAUUACCCCUGUUCCUUUUAACAGCACUGUACAUAAUUGGACAGAGAUAAAGAGGCUUUUAAUUGGCCAUAAUAAUCUUUCCCUGGAAAUACAAGAACUAACACACAAUAUUUCUGAAACAUUUCCUAAUCAGUUACCAUUGUGAACUGGUGCAAAUUUAAUGACUGGUAUUGUGCAAAGCUUGAAAUCUUUAAACCCUAUGAGUCCUGUAAAAACCUUACUGACUUCUGUUUCUAGUAAUGUAUUAAUUGUUGUUUUUGCCUUUGUCAUUUUCACAGUCUACUAGAAACGGUGCCAAAGGGCAAACACCAAAUCCCAACGAGCCCAACAUGUGAUAAUGGUUUUGAAAGAAAUUCAAACCUGUAAAUAAGAAGGGGGAGAUAAUAAUAAUAAUAAUAAUAAGUAGAGGACUGUGUGCUGGCAAACGAGAAGUUCCCGAUAAGCCCUGCUCUUGCAAACAAAGCAGGACAUUCCUUCUCUGCAAACAAGAAGGAUAAAGGAGCCAGCUGUAAGCAGCGGGCUCUGGGAACUGGUCAAUGUUUUACUGAUCUUGCGAGUCAAGGAAAGGUCAGAGAAGCAACACAUGUCCCGUGACUUGGCAACAUUCCACAAACGGCUGGAUAAAAAUAAAGCAGUGUGUGCCAUUCGGGGCGGCCGCCAUGUAUGUCUUGUCCUGUGUUGUCUUGUGUGUUCAUUCCUUUGUUUAGGAAACACGCGGACCCCAACACCCUCAAUUUGGAGAACAAAAUCCUUAUGGUUCAGCCUACCUCCCUUGAGUCUUUGGUUGGGGGUUGGGCCCUAAGUCUACCUAAUAAUGAAGUGUAAUUAGCCAUGAAUUUUCCAGAUUUGUAACUCUGUGCUUCCUUAACUCCCACAAAGGUUUCAAGGGUCUGGGAAAGUGAUUUUCCAAAAUUUUAUUUAUCUCUAACAAGUAUCUUAACAAUUUUGAAAAACUACUUUUUCCCAAGCAUGUUUCAAAUUGACAUCUAAUAUUUUUAUGAUCAUUGCAUAGUUUCUUUUUUUUUUCCGUAAAUAAAAUUUUAUUGGAACACA